AGCUCACAAUCACAUGGUUCAGGUGUGGUUAAUCCAGGUACUUAAGUUUGAGUCCGUGUGGUCGCUGUGGUUUGUGAAAGUGCACGAACAGGAGACACGAUGGAUCGCGCAGGAAAAAAGGACAAGGGAGAAUCCAAGGGGAAGAAGGAGGACAAAGACAAGUCAAAGGAAAAGGGCAGCAAAGACAAAAAGACGGACAAGAAGGAGAAGAAGAAGGGGAAGCCUGAGGGGAAAGGCUCAUCUUCGGACUCCAGCUCUGAUGAGAAGUGAUGUUGAGACGCGAAGGACACUCGUCUCUUACAAUCAAUAAACAAGAAAUGUGUCGUGCUUGUGUGAACAAACCUGCUGAUUCCUGGAAAUAAAGGUUCUUCUGUCAAAAUAAAGUUAAUCACCUCAC